UCUUUUUAUUUUUGAGGGUGAUUAAUACCUUGGACUUGUUCCAAGAUUGUAAACAGGAUGGUACACACAGGACCAGAUGGAGAUUCAAGAUUACAAAGAUCAAGUACCUCUCGGUGUUAUGAUGAUUUACUCCUUUGCUGUGUUUGGACAUCUUUCAAGUUUUGGCUCAGCAUUCUGAGGUAAUGGAAGCAAUUGUCUCUAUGCCCCUGGUCAUUGCCGUGGUGUCUCGUGAAAGGCUAGAUUUCACGGGUUUCUAUCGUCUGUUAUGCCUGGAAACAUCAGAAAACUGUCUGCUGAUUGAGGAUCUACACGUUGAUAUUUUUGAUCGACCAAAAGCUGUCAAGAAGGUUCCCCCAUAAAGAAGACAUCAUAGUUUGACGUGAGCUUUUCUUCUCUUAAGUUUCUCGCAUGAAGUUAUAACAUUUAAAGGCACUGGACACUAUUGGUAACUACUCAAAAUAAACGUAGCAUAAAAAAUACUUGGAAAUGAGCAAUGGAGCGCUGUUGUUAGUAUAAAACA